GCGGCGUGCCUAAUACAUGCAAGUCGAGCGAACAGAUAAGGAGCUUGCUCCUUUGACGUUAGCGGCGGACGGGUGAGUAACACGUGGAUAACCUACCUAUAAGACUGGGAUAACUUCGGGAAACCGGAGCUAAUACCGGAUAACAUAUUGAACCGCAUGGUUCAAUAGUGAAAGGCGGCUUUGCUGUCACUUAUAGAUGGAUCCGCGCCGUAUUAGCUAGUUGGUAAGGUAACGGCUUACCAAGGCAACGAUACGUAGCCGACCUGAGAGGGUGAUCGGCCACACUGGAACUGAGACACGGUCCAGACUCCUACGGGAGGCAGCAGUAGGGAAUCUUCCGCAAUGGGCGAAAGCCUGACGGAGCAACGCCGCGUGAGUGAUGAAGGUCUUCGGAUCGUAAAACUCUGUUAUCAGGGAAGAACAAAUGUGUAAGUAACUGUGCACAUCUUGACGGUACCUGAUCAGAAAGCCACGGCUAACUACGUGCCAGCAGCCGCGGUAAUACGUAGGUGGCAAGCGUUAUCCGGAAUUAUUGGGCGUAAAGCGCGCG
rnacentral:rRNA from 1 species